ensembl:lncRNA
GGAAACAACCUAGAAAUUUGGACAUGAAGGAUUUCUGUCCUUUUUCUCCUCUGGUGUUGGCAUCUUAAUGCCACUGAAAGUCAUACAACCUAGUUUCAUGAAGUUUGCUCUCAAGAUGGUUUGUGAGGGAACCUAGGCUCAGGAAAGUUGGUCAUGUAUUUGUGAGGAGCAGAGUCAACAUUCAGCCAGUUACCAAGACAGAAACCUUGGAUUUGAAUCAGAGCAGCCUGGCCGAAGACUCUGGAUGACUAUAAUCUGCUCACACCCUACCGAGGUCACCAGUCAUGCGGAACACACGCCGAAUCAGCCUGCUGCAAACAGAUAGGUCUGUGCACGCCCUACGGAGGUCCUAAGUCACGCGGAAGACACGAAAUCACCCCGCUGCAGACAGGCAGCCACCUGAUUCCACAAUACAAAGACGCAGAGGACACCAGACCACCAGACCAAGGUGUGUGUGUGUGUGUCCCUGGUGCCUGCCUGGCUCACCUCCUCUGUGGUGGGAGCAGUGGCAUGCCUACCCAGAAAC